rnacentral:snRNA from 1 species
GUGCUCAGCUCGGUAGCACACAUACUAAAAUUGGAAUGAUACAGAGAAGAUUAGCAUGGCCCCUGCACAAGGAUGAAAUACAAAUUCAUGAAGCGUUCCAAAAGAAA